UCCCUAGUACCUUAGCUGGUAAAGAAUCUGCCUGCAAUGCAGGAGAUCUGGGUUCGAUCCUUGGGUUGGGAA
rnacentral:tRNA from 1 species